rnacentral:tRNA from 1 species
GCGGGGGUAGCCAAGCCGGCCAACGGCAUAGGACUUAAGAUCCUAGACCUCAGGGUUUCAUGGGUUCGAAUCCCAUCCCCCGCACCA